AUGGCCCCUUGGUCUUCUCCUUCAUCAGGUCAAAGAUCUUGUUCUCACUUUUUCCCUCCUGGUCCAAUUCCAUUGACACUUGUGGUUAGGCCCAUCAACAUGCUUGAUCUUCCCUGUUGGUAAGAUGAUUACAAUUGCAAUUUAGCAUUUAUCAAAUCUUCAUGACCACAGCCUUUCCAUGUGGUAAAUAUGUAAACUUAAUAAAAUGACAGCUUCCCAUUUACUCUCA
rnacentral:lncRNA from 12 species